rnacentral:sRNA from 1 species
GUUUGGCAGGGCGGGACGCCUCGCGAAGAUGGUGGUGCGCGGGGCGUGUGGCUCCCGUCGUCUGGCCAAGUCUCAGCGCAGCGCACCGGCCGGCGUCUCGCUGGCCUGGAGCCCACACCCACCGGGUCCCUGACCCCGCGCCCCCCGCGCCCGGUUCCCGGCAUGCCUCGCGCCCGUAAGGGCAACACGCUUCGGAAGGGUGGUCAGCGCCGUGGAGGAGGUGCCCGGAGCAGUGCCCAAGCUGACUCGGGUUCCAGUGAUGAUGAGGCAGCCAGUGAGGCCCGCAGCACCGCCAGUGAAUGCCCCAGCUUUCUCAGCACCACUGUAGAGGACAGCCUUGGUGAGAACGGGUGGAAGUUUGACAGGAGCUUAGUGAGGGCUCCAUGGGCUGAGGACAAGAAGCAGUGCUGACCAGGUGGCCUUGCAGGGGGGGAUGUCGUGGAUGAGCAGGGCCAGCAGGAAGACCUUGAGGAAAAGCUGAAGGAGUAUGUGGACUGCCUCACAGACAAGAGGUACCCCUGGCUGCCAGCCAACUCCUACACCCAGCUCCAAGUGUGACCAAGGGAGGGCUGGCCCAUGUGACCCCCCUUCUCGACCUCCCCCAGUGCCAAGACCCGGCAGGGUGCUCUCGAGAGCCUGCGCCUGGCCCUGGCGUCCCGCCUACUCCCCGACUUCUUGCUGGAGCGCCGCCUCACACUAGCCGAUGCCCUGGAAAAGUGCCUCAAGAAAGGUUGGACCUGGGGGUACGUGGGAGACUUAAACUGGGCAGACACUGGCCCUUGCUGCAUGGGCUGACUGGAAAGCAUCCCACAGGCAAGGGCGAGGAACAAGCCCUGGCUGCUGCUGUGCUAGGCCUGCUCUGCGUGCAGCUGGGCCCUGGACUUAAGGGUG